GAAAUAGGCCCUUGCUCCAAGUCCCAGUAACUCGGAAUGCGGAGCCGCUCGUCUCCCGUCUUUUUUAAGGAAACUGAAGCUGAGCCUGAAGGAAUUACAGAACUUGGAGUAAAUGCUUCUUCAAAAUACGAGUUUUGGUCGGGCGCGGUGGCUCACCCCUGUAAUCCCAGCACUUUGGGAGGCCAAGGCGGGCGGAUCACGAGGUCAGGAGGUAGAGACCAUCCUGGCCAACAUGGUGAAACCCGUCUCUACUAAAAAUAGAAAAAUUAGCUGGGCGUGGUGGCGCGUGCCUGUAAUCCCAGCUACUCGGGAGGCUGACACAGAAUCACUUGAACCAGGGAGUCGGAGGUUGCAGUGAGCCGAGAUCGUGCCACUGCACUCCAGCCUGGCGACAGAGCUGGACUCCGUCUCAAAAAGAAGUUUUUUCUCUUUAAAAAUAAAAAAGCGGGGAGGGGGGCAUUAAAAUUAGAAAGAUUGUGUUCAAGUUUCUUUUGUUUUUUUUUAAGUAUUAACCUAAGAAUAUUAAGGCCGGUCGCGGUGGCUCACGCCUGUAAUCCCAGCACUUUGGGAGGCCGAGGCGGGUGAAUCACCUGAGGUCAGGAGUUUGAGAACAGCCUCACCAACAUGGUGAAACCCCAUCUCUACUAAAAAUACAAAAAUUAGCUGGGCUUGGUGUCAGGAUCCUGUAAUCCCAGCUACUUGGGAGGCUGAGGCAGGAGAAUCGCUUAAACCCAGGAGUUGGAGGUUGCAGUGAGCCAAGAUCGCGCCAUUGCACUUCAGUCUGGGCAGCAAGAGCGAAACUCCGUCUCAAAAAAAGAAAAAGAAUAUUAAGAUGUUAGAGUUUUUAUUAAUUUUUUUCAAAGUAGGCCAGGCGCGAUGGUGGGCUCCUGUAAUCUCAGCUACUCAGGAGGCUGAGGCAGUAGAAUUGCUUCAACCCAGGAGGCAGAGGUUGCAGUGAGCUGAGAUCACGCCAUUGCACUCCAGCCUGGACAACGGAGCAAGACUCUCCCACCAAAAAAAAAAAAAAAAGUAUUAAACAUGUUUCUUAGAAUACAUUUAAGCUUCCAAGUGAUCAAAUUAAGUAAACCUUUUCACAAGUCAAAAUGUACUAUUAAAAAACAAAGUUUGGGGCCGGGUGCAGUGGCUCACGCCUGUAAUCCCAGCAUUUUGGGAGGCCGAGGCGGGCGGAUCAUGAGGUCAGGAGUUCGAGACCAGCCUGACCAACAUGGCGAAACCCCCGUCUCUACUAAAUAUACAAAAAUUAGCCGGGCCUGGUGGCAAGUGCCUGUAAUCCCAGCUACUCGGGAGGCUGAGGCAGGAGAAAUUGCUUGAACCUGGGAGGCGGAGGUUGCAGUGAGCUGAGAUCGCGCCAUCACACUCCAGCCUGGGCAACAGAGGGAGACUCUGUCUCAAAAAAAAAGAACAAAGUUUGAAAAUCUAAUCCUAUUUUUAGGAUGAGUCUUUGAUACCAGUCCAUGAGGAAAGGCUUAUUUGUGAAUAAAAUCAAAGGAAAACAAACUCAUAGGAAAGUCUUUAUAAUUAUUAUAAACAAACCUGGAGGUCCAGGUGUCGUGGCUCAAGAUUGUAAUCCUAGCACUUUGGGAGGUUGAGGCGAGAGGAUGGCUUGAGGCCAGGGGUUGGAGACCAGCCUGGGCAACAUGAUGAGAUGCAGUGUCUACAAAAAUAAUUUUUAAGAAUUAGCUGGACAUGGUCGUGCUGGCCUGUAAUCCCAACUACUGAGGAGGCUGAGGCAGGAGGAUUGCUUGAGCCCAGAAGUUAGGCGGCAAUGAGCUAUGAUCACGCCACUUCACUCCAGCGUGGGCAACAGAGCAAGAAAGACUCUGUCUCUAAAAUAAAAUAAUAAAUAGGCCGGGCAUGGUGGCUCAUGCCUGUAAUCCCAGCACUUUGGGGAGCCAAGGCUGGCAGAUCACCUGAGGUCAGGAGUUAAGGACCAGCCUGAUCAACAUGGAGAAACCCCGUCUCUACUCAAAAUACAAAAUUAGCUGGGUGUGGUGGCACAUGUCUGUGAUCCCAGCAACUCGGGAGGCUGAGGCAGGAGAAUCUCUUGAACCUGGGAGGCGCAGGUUGCCGUGAGCCGAGAUUGCGCCAUUGCACUCUGGCCUAGGCAACAAGAGUGAAACUUCGUCUCAAAAUAAAAGAAAAUAAACCUACAGUUUAUACGUGAAUUAUAGUGUAUCAGUUAAUCCUCCUCCCUCCUGAUUUAUAAGUCCAAAAGUUUUGAACUGGUUGUUUCAGAAAACAAUGCUUUUACUAUUUCAUCAGUUGCUUAAAAGGAAUGUUUUGAUGUAGAAGUUAGAACUUUUUCGUAGAGCUUUUCAUUUUUCUUAAAGCGUCAGUUUACCUUUCUUGUAUAUCAUUAAUCAAACGAAACUCAUGCCUUCAUCUCAUCUGUAGCACACCAGAGUAAUAGUAUCUGUGUUCUCCAAGCUGUUCUCUCCAGAAACCACGUUUCUACGUGUGUGCAAAGUUGUAUUACUGGGAUUUCCCCUGAAUGCACUUCUGGAUUCCACUGUUUCGUG
rnacentral:lncRNA from 10 species